rnacentral:lncRNA from 1 species
AACCUUGCAUGGCUCCCAGGCGUCUUUCCCUCUCCGGCAGCACUGGGCAUUUUCACGUGGACAGACUGUGAAGGGCAAGGCUCUCCGGAAGCCAUGCAAACACUCUGAAAUGCUGUCUUGCAAAAUCUCGCAAUGACCCAUAUGGAGUGAAAAGUCCAACUUUCAUUUCAGCCUGCAUGAAAGAGCCCUGUGGUGAGGGACAGUGACCCCUGGUGCACUGGACAACCCCUGCUGUGACCGAGGCUGCCCAGGAGAAGGAAGGCCCCUGGUGGCCAUGGAGGACACGGAGAAUCCAACGAACGAAUCCAGUGGCCUCGUAUUCGCCAACGCUCCAUUGAAACCACAGCUACGCUCCAGGCUGGACACUCCCUGUGGAGCAAGGCUAGAAGCUGAACUGUGCUCAGAUGAUAUCCCGGCAGUGAAAACACCAGAGUGCUAAAUGAAAAAUCUAUGCUCUCCCCACCAACUUCUUCAACUAGUGGGCCGCACAGGCUCCAGCAAGGAUUAAUUUGAACACUGUCAUUUCUUGGCAUCCCAAGCUGAAUUUUCCAGGACACAAAGGCAUGAGGUAUUCCAUCAUCUUGAUAAUUUUUAUAGCCGGUGGGGAGGUAGAAGGGAACAAAUAAUUGGAUGCACCAAGCUAUGGAACAAAUGAAACUAUGAAACGUUCACGAUCAAGUCCUGGAUCAAAGUGACUGGCUCGUAGAUAGGCAAGAAAUUUGGCCUUCUUCAAAAUAAGAAAUGAGGGUGGAGCCUCAAGCAGUGGGUCUAAAAGUGAGUCUUUCACAGGCUUGAGGAAGAAUACAGUGUUUCCCAUUAACCACCCAACACUCAGGAAGAAAUGUCACCUAAGAAACUGACUUUGGGUUACAAACUAGGGGCAAAUACUGGAAGGAAAUAAAUCAAAAUAUGCACACUGGUUGUGCUAUAAUGACGGGAUUACUGGGUAUUUUUUGUUCUUUA